CUACGGGCCGCUGCAGUGGGGAAUCUUAGACAAUGGGCGCAAGCCUGAUCUAGCCAUGCCGCGUGAGUGACGAAGGCCUUAGGGUCGUAAAGCUCUUUCGCUGGGGAAGAUAAUGACGGUACCCAGUAAAGAAACCCCGGCUAACUCCGUGCCAGCAGCCGCGGUAAUACGGAGGGGGUUAGCGUUGUUCGGAAUUACUGGGCGUAAAGCGCGCGUAGGCGGAUCAGAAAGUUGGGGGUGAAAUCCCGGGGCUCAACCCCGGAACUGCCUUCAAAACUCCUGGUCUUGAGUUCGAGAGAGGUGAGUGGAAUUCCGAGUGUAGAGGUGAAAUUCGUAGAUAUUCGGAGGAACACCAGUGGCGAAGGCGGCUCACUGGCUCGAUACUGACGCUGAGGUGCGAAAGCGUGGGGAGCAAACAGGAUUAGAUACCCGCGUAGUC
rnacentral:rRNA from 1 species